CCCCUAACGUAUAGGUAUCUGCAUAUCGUGCGAGCGCAAAGCUACUUCGGUCUGGUGGCGAGUGGCGAACGGGUGAGUAAUGUAUCGGAACGUGCCCAGUAGCGGGGGAUAACUACGCGAAAGCGUAGCUAAUACCGCAUACGCCCUACGGGGGAAAGCAGGGGAUCGCAAGACCUUGCACUAUUGGAGCGGCCGAUAUCGGAUUAGCUAGUUGGUGGGGUAACGGCUCACCAAGGCGACGAUCCGUAGCUGGUUUGAGAGGACGACCAGCCACACUGGGACUGAGACACGGCCCAGACUCCUACGGGAGGCAGCAGUGGGGAAUUUUGGACAAUGGGGGAAACCCUGAUCCAGCCAUCCCGCGUGUGCGAUGAAGGCCUUCGGGUUGUAAAGCACUUUUGGCAGGAAAGAAACGUCAUGGGUUAAUACCCCGUGAAACUGACGGUACCUGCAGAAUAAGCACCGGCUAACUACGUGCCAGCAGCCGCGGUAAUACGUAGGGUGCAAGCGUUAAUC
rnacentral:rRNA from 1 species